UACAACCAACUCAUAGUAACAACUCAUAUCUCUAGGUUUGAAGAAUAUAAGAUAUUAUCGUCUCAUGAUCACUCGUGAUAAAAUCCAUGAAGUGAUUCCAAUGAGCGCGGGUUGAAUCCAAUACUCAGAACUUAUGAGCACUCAUGAGUGUUGUAGCCCUUUGUCCAACACCUUAGACCUCUACAAGCCAACCCAUGACAGUCUUAAUUCAUAUCUACUUCCAACAUAUGACCGACUGUGGAUGGUUUGAAUAACUUAGUCAUUCCGGAAGAAUAACCUAGUUUAUUCUGGAAGUCAAAACAUGCAAAAUGAAACACAAGAAUAAUUGAAUCCAAUAUGGUCUCAGAACUUAUGAAUAUAAAUAAAACACCUUUUAUUUAUCACCAUAUGAUUACACAAUAUUCAUUGUAUACUCUUUCAGCUAUCAACUUUAUUCUUGAAUUUAAAACAAUAGUUGUCCCAUGCUCCAAGCAUGUACACUAUGUUUUCUAAACACUAGUCAUGCCAUACACCAAGUAUGCAUACUAUGUUUGUCUAUGAUCUUUACUUUGUGAAAUAGAUCAAUUGAACAUAACUCCAAUGAUCAUCUUCCACAGUCCCAAAUCCUUACUGCAAAUGCAAGAAUUCCAAAUUCAUGCCAUUUACUAAAAUCUGUUAGAUUCUAAACUUAUAUGCAUUGAUCCUCUUGUAAUGAUUAUGCACAAAGUCAGAAAGACUUGACAACAACCAUUACAGAGCAUUCCAAAGGAGAUCAACUCCUUGGAAACAUCCUUCUUGCAUUAAGUUUCCUAAUCUUACACAGAUUAAAUAAUUUCUAACUUUGAAACNAUAUUCCAUUUUGACUAUCACUUUCGAACAAGAGUUGCCUCUUUUCAGACUAUGUCAAUAUGGUCCUUCCAAAGUCAACACUAUACUUCCAACUGUCCUUGAGCAACCAAUCCUUGGUAAACCUUAGAUUGUCCUCAACAAUUGCUUAAUCAUUUUAGUCAUAUCCAAUUCUAGUACUUUUGCCUUCUUAAUGCCCCGGGCAUUUGGAAAAUUUUUAGAAAUGAUGAAUAUAGCACAUGUAAUCGAUCCUAUAUGCGAAUUAUAUGGGACACGAUUUAUGAUGACACACAUAUAGACUUAACCAGUCUUUUGCUAUAAUAUUUCCAUUUCUAUUUUCCAAGUUCUCAUAAUUCAGAUUAUGAAAAGGGAUGCCAUAAUCAUAAUCGAAUUUUAAAACGCAAAUAAUGAACCCAUAUAUAGAAUUUCCUUAUGUUGAGCCAUUCCAACAUGAAAUUCAUAUAUAUUCUAGACUAAAUACGAUUAAAACCUUAAUCUAAGCUUUUAGAUUUGAGAUGAAGUAUAAUUUCCUCUCCCUUAAUUAUAGCAAAACAACUUUUUCCCAAUUGAAACCUUUUGUUUUCUAUAAUUAACAUUGCUAACUUGCAAUACUUAUCAUAAUUAUCAUGCUCCCACUAACAUGAUGAUUAUUAUCAUAACACUUAUGCUCCAACUAGCUUUGACAUGUACUCAGAAAUCAGCUCGACUACUAGAAAUCAUAACUUUAUUGACUUUCUUACCAAAGUUCAGAUUUCUAAUACUAGAUUUCUUUGAAAACACUUUAUCAAUAUCAUAUACCUCUCUUAGAUAGCUCACAUGUGUGUCUAAGCAGUUUCGUAACUAUGAAAAGGGAUGUCGUAAUCAUAGUCUAAAUUAUUUAGACCUUUUGUCAUUUCUCAUAAGUUAAUGUUAGUGUGCCGGUUAACCACGCACGCUCCACUAAUGAAUUUGAGAAUUGCAAAUAUCACAAUUGAUGUCUACUUAAAAUCAACUUAGUGAAAAAGUUUCCUUACCAUCAUUUUCAUGAAUCAAAGAGAAACCUUAUGACACUUAGAUUUUAUGGUAUAUGUGUUCCUAUCCAUGUGAAUNGUAUAUGUGUCCUAUCCAUGUGAAUUUAUCAACACCAUAAUCACAAGACUAGGUUAGUGACAAAUCCUAACUCAUAUGGAUUGAAUUUGUGCAAUCUUAUCGUCUUGCCACCUGGCAGCUCAAGGGCCUGCCAUUGCUUCCAAGUAGCUAUCCAAACAAUUGAUAAUAGGUAGAACUCAAAUAUAUAGCCAACUUAACUGGAAUGGGCACAUAAAUGUCAACACGAUAGGUUAUAAACCUCAAGUCGUGUGCUACUGAAGAACUUCGGGUUUUAUUCUUGAUUAGUUCUUGAGACUUUCAAGAACUUUAAGACUCCCACUGUCCUAUUGACAUAUAAGACUUUCUUGUCAGAUAUUCAAGAGAUAGUGUGGAUUCUAAUCAAGACAAACACUUUACACAAUUGGCCUUAGUUGGUCUUUGUUUUAUCCAAAACAUCACAACAUACCAAUUUCAAAUGUACAAGAGUAGAAAACUUUUACUCUUACAUUUGACAAGUGUUUUAAACCUUCUUUAAGACAUGUCACUCAACAUACAGUCUUGGGGUAUGACUCUAAGACUUGUUUUGAAACGAAGUAUGACUCAUCAUCUUGAUUUGACCACUUCAACAAUUCAUAGCUCCUCUUUUAGCUAUCAGAAUGCACUUAGAGGAUGAAUAUUGAUAAGGUCUCAAAAUCAUUAAGAUGAUCUUAAAACAUGAUACUAAAGUAUUCUCCCAUCUUUUCAGAUUUGAGAAACUUUUAUCUUUCUGCCUAAGUUGAUUCUUCUUAUUCGCUCUGCCAUACAUUGGAACCUUUUCCAAUGUCUCAGAAUUACACUUAAGCUUGUAAGUAUAACCAUAUUUACUGAGCUUUAGUAAAUUAUGACGAAUAAUCUUAUCGAUCUUUUGUGGUGGACUUGACCAGUGCACAAGAAUGUGUACUCGAUCCCUUAGUCCUUCACUUGACUCACACAUCCAUGUGAACAAGUAAUUAGUCUUAAUUUUCCAAUACUUGAAAGUUCUCAUUCAUCAUGCUAUACAACUUGCAUGAUUCCAAGUUCCGGUCCAAUUGAAACUUGGGUGAUGAGAAUCUUUCCUUAUUUGGUAAAUUUAGACAUUACCACAAAUGAAAGAAUCAAUUUCAUAUUUCCACUCUUGCUAUUAAUGGAAUCAUAUAAGCAACAAUUUUUCCUCAAAUGCCAUUGUAAGGAUAUUUUAAAAUAAAUAAAAUCAAAAUUUUUCUUUUAUUUUAAAACUUUGCGGAAAAACUUAUCCUUACAAUCCAUAUGAAAACUUGUUGUUAUCUAUUCCUAAGCAAUAUCUCAUAACUCCUAAGAAGUAGCUCAAGAAUCCGAUCUUCAAACUAUGCGAUAGAAAUCCAUCUACGCGAUCAGAUUCAGCAUAUUCUUUCUUUAAGUUUCUUCACUUUUCUUUGAUUCUUAAAACAUCACCAUGUGACCCAGUCACAUCAUGUAUCAAGAAUCUCAGAAUAGAAACUUAACAGAGUUAGAUAGUGGACUUUACCUGAAGUAGAGUCAAACUUAUUGACUUUAACAUCCUUAGGUAAAUUUGGCAGCUUCGCAACCAAUGCCCCUUCCUUUGGCAAUAUAAACAUAUGGACCCUUUGAUAAUGGUACACGGGACUAUCACAGACUUAGCUUUUCUCUUUACCAUUUGGUCAACCGAGUUGACUAUGGCCGAUCCCUUUCCAUUGGGAAGAGAAUGCUUUACUGGAUAUCCAAUGUCAUCAUUGUCAAUGUCCAUAAAGUUUUAGGAAGUUGAUCUUAGCAAAUAGAUAAGAUCAUUAAGGGUCUUGUCAUAGUCUGUUUCAUAGGUGUCCCAAAGGAACUCACUAUGUGACUUAGAAAGUGAUUGAACCACCAACUUUCUCAAGACUUUGACACCCAACUCUCCCGGCUUGUCAAUAUGUGACUACAUCUCCAAGAUGUGAUCACACCUAGACCUUGCCUUGCCAAUAGGGCUUGAGUGACCUUAAACUUUUCAAGAACUUGUGGGUUAGGGAGAAUAAUUGGAGGAGGAGAAAGAAGUAUGAUAUCCAUGGGACAUCAUCUUCAUUAGGAAACCUUGUUUCAAGAGAUUUGGGAAGAUCAUAGGUGUCUAAACCAGACAUCUUUUGGGAGAUAUUCAAGAUAGUUGAUUUAAAGUCCUUAAUAUGACACCCAAUAUGAAAUAUUAAGGCUAGGACCCAACAAACUAUUUUAUAACUUAGAAGAGGUAUGCCGUAAUCCAAGCUAUAAAAUAUUUGAAGGUAGGUGAAUGACGAUUCACCAAUUUCCACCAAGAUAAACGAAAUGUAUUAUUAGGUUUUAAUUGGUUUUGAAACUCCUAGAUCUUUGAGAUUCAUUGAACUGUUCAAAGGCAUGUUUCAAUCUCGAGUGUGCCCUUCAGGUUUUGUGACUGGGAUGCCGAGGAUCACAAAACAAGGUGUGAAGUAACCAUGCAAAUCACUUGGUACCCUUAAUAAAUUACCCCUCAAUCGAUGUGCCGGUUAACCACACACGCUCCAUCGAUACUAUGAUAAAUAUUAAGUCACCCUUUACCUACCUUGUUAAGUCCAAGUUAGUGUGCCGGUUAACCACACACGCUCCACUAACGACUUAGACAAAGUGUAAAGUGUAAUUUCAUGGAUUAGCACCUUAUUCACAUUUUUCCUAAGUAACUAAGAUUGGGUAUUAUUAAGAGUUUAGUUACUUAGUAUUAUCAUUAAUACUUUUAAUGAAGGGAGAAUUCUAGUCCUGUCAAACCCGUUCGGCUAACGACCCUCCACCAGUCAAGCAAGCGGUGGGUGAGAGUGGACACCCAUUAAGUUGCCAUUUUAUAGGCAACAACCUUAUACCCACCUUAUAGACCGGCUUCGUGAAUGAGGCGUACUAGCGGUAAGACUGACUUUACUCUUAUACAUAUAUAUAUUAUUAACUUAUAAUAUUAUAAAGUAUAAGGGUUGAAUUUUAACUUUUAAAAUUCUAAGGGCUAACUUGGAAUUAAAGUAUUCAUAAGUGAAAACUUUACAAAUUCCAAAACUUGAGGGCAAGUUUUGAAACUAUUCAAAACUAAUUAAUUCCAUAACUUAUGUGUUUAAAGUAGUUUUAAUCCAAAAACUCUUCAAGUUCCAUAACUUGAGGACAAGUUAUGGAAGACUUUAAACUAAUAAAAGAAUUAACUUUUCUUUAUUUUAUAACUUAUGGAAUUAAUUAAGGUUACACUUUUUUUUUUUUUAUUUUAUUUUAUUAAAUGAAGAGACUCUUGGUCCUCCAUAACUUGAGGACAAGUUAUGGAGUCAUAAAACCAUUUAAUUAGAACUAGACUCUUCAUUUUUGUAACCUUUGCCAAUUUUUAUGAGUUUUAUGAUUCUUAAAUGUGACUUUUCAUAUAACUUGAGGACAAGUUACAAAAACACAUUUUAGAAUCAAUUCUUAGAUUAAUUUGGAUUAAAACCAACUAUCACAUAAUUUUAUUCAUUAAUCUAAAUUCACUCAUAAAACAAGGUAACACAAAAAACUUUUGGUGAUCCAUAACUUAUUCUUAAGUUAUGGAAUCCUUUAAAACAUUAACACCAAAUUUUGUAACUCCAAAAAAACUUUGAAUCAAUUUUUUUUUUAAAACCUUUUCAUAUCCAUAACUUAUGGAGGUUUCAAAAAAUAAAACUCUUUAGAUCAAACUUUUAAAACUAAUAAAAUAAUCAUAUUAUUUUAUCUUUUAUUAAAUUUGACCUAAUUCAACUCAUAAAGCAAAUUAUUCAAAUUUUACAAAUAAUUAGUUUUUCACAAGAACAAGUAAUUAUCUUAAAAUUUGACAAACUUCAUGUUUUUUUUUUUUUUUUUUUUCAACUUUGAAAAUAAAAUAUUUGCAUCAAUAUAACAGAAAACAACCCGUGGCUCUGAUACCACUGUUGGGUUUUGAGCAUUCUAACACUUCCUAAGUGUACAUGCAACCCUAAAUACCUUGGAUCUAUGUUUUCUCUAUUAUACAUGCAAAUAAGAACUUCCAAGGUAUUAUCCUAAUCUAGCAUACAAAACAAUAAUGUAACAAGAUAGAAUACAUACCUCUUGAUGUAGAAAGUCUUCAUGAAGCUUGAGUGCUUAGUGCCCCAAGUGUGACACCUCAAAUGGAAUCACAAUCAUCAAAACACUUAGAAUGACUUGAGAGAAUUCUACACUCACCAAAAUCGGCUAGCCCUUUCUUGAAUACUACUAGUGGCCGAUUUUUCCUCAAUAAUAAGAUGCUUAUAUAGUUACACAAUUAGGGUAAACUCUUAAUUGUCAUGGCUUUCCAUUUCCUUGGAUCCAUGGGUACAAAUACACCAUGGAGCAUCCAUGGACCAUCCUAUGGGUUUUAGCCCAACUUGAUUAUCCAUGGAGCAUUAGCCCACUAUACAAGUAUGGAUGAUUUACACAAUCAACCCAUAUAUUUAAUUAGUCUUCUUUUGAUCACUUAAUUAAUCCUAGAUUAAUUCUUGAUCAAUACUAAUUAAAUAAUCUUAUUAUUCUUAUUAUUAAUAUACUAGAACUUAUAAUAUAUUAAUAACCAUAAGUGUCUUAUUUCUCUCAUUCAAGUGCAUGAUGGUAUGCAACCCAAAUGGACCAUGCCGGGUCGGGUCAAGUCUUACCAAAUAUAGUUAUGGACUUAGACAUUAAUCCAACAGUCUCCCACUUGGAUAAGUCUAAAACUAUUAUUGCGUAUGACUUCAGGAACCAACCGGCAAUCGUAGCUCUCAAAAGCUUCUGUCGAACUCUGACCUUGUAGAUGAACUCUGACCUUUGUCAGUGACUUGUCCAUUAGAUAAGGGAUCAUAUAUUCCUCCAUUCUAGAUAUCAUAUGGACUGAGACAUGGAUUAUAAUCAUUCUCUCUGUCCAUUUGUUGUUUCCCGAUUUCCGAUUUAUGACGACUGACUAAUUGAACAAAUCAAAUCAGUCCUGGCCCGGCCGAGCACUUCCAUUUGUCAUCAUCAAAUCAUCGAGGGGCCCACAGAUAUCGCUUUUAUCCCGAAGGUAAAAGGAACGGAUAAACUUCGACUCAUAUGGCUUGUUCUACUACUUGUUGAAUCAUACACAAAGGCACGUUUUAUAGCACCGAGUUACCAAAUGCGUUUUCGUGCUAUCAAUGUACUAUCAACUCAUAGUAACAACUCAUAUCUCUAGGUUUGAAGAAUAUAAGAUAUUAUCGUCUCAUGAUCACUCGUGAUAAAAUCCAUGAAGUGAUUCCAAUGAGCGCGGGUUGAAUCCAAUACUCAGAACUUAUGAGCACUCAUGAGUGUUGUAGCCCUUUGUCCAACAUCUUAGACCUCUACAAGCCAACCCAUGACAGUCUUAAUUCAUAUCUACUUCCAACAUAUGACCGACUGUGGAUGGUUUGAAUAACUUAGUCAUUCCGGAAGAAUAACCUAGUUUAUUCUGGAAGUCAAAACAUGUAAAAUGACACACAAGAAUAAUUGAACCCAACAUGGUCUCAGAACUUAUGAAUAUAAAUAAAACACCUUUUAUUUAUCACCAUAUGAUUACACAUUAUUCAUUGUAUACUGUUUCAGCUAUCAACUUUAUUCUUGAAUUUAAAACAAUAGUUGUCCCAUGCUCCAAGCAUGUACACUAUGUUUUCUAAACACUAGUCAUGCCACACACCAAGUAUGCAUACUAUGUUUGUCUAUGAUCUUUACUUUGUGAACUAGAUCAAUUGAACAUAACUUCAAUGAUUCUCUUUUCACACUCCCAAAUCCUUACUGCAAAUGCAAGAAUUCCAAAUUCAUGCCAUUUACUAAAAUAUGUUAGAUUCUAAACUUAUAUGCAUUGAUCCUCUUGUAAUGAUUAUGCACAAAGUCAGAAAGACUUGACAACAACCAUUACAGAGCAUUCCAAAGGAGAUCAACUCCUUGGAAACAUCCUUCUUGCAUUAAGUUUCCUAAUCUUACACAGAUUAAAUAAUUUCUAACUUUGAAACAUUUCCAUAUUCCAUUUUGACUAUCACUUCUGAACAAGAGUUGCCUCUUGUCAGACUAUGUCAAUAUGGUCCUUCCAAAGUCAACACUAUACUUCCAACUGUCCUUGAGCAACCAAUCCUUGGUAAACCUUAGAUUG
rnacentral:lncRNA from 1 species